GGAUCUCGAAAGCCUGUCCCAGUUCGGACUGGAGUCUGCAACCCGACUCCACGAAGUUGGAUUCGCUAGUAAUCGCGCAUCAGCCAUGGCGCGGUGAAUACGUUCCCGGGCCUUGUACACACCGCCCGUCAAGCCAUGGGAGCCGGGGGCGCCUGAAGUCCGGGACCGCGAGGACCGGCCUAGGGCGAAACUGGUAACUGGGGCUAAGUCGUAACAAGGUAGC
rnacentral:rRNA from 1 species